AUGGGGCAGGGGCCCAGGGUUCAUUAUUCACCAAUGCUGUUGAAUCACAGUGGUUCAGAGGGAGAAACUAAUUUUGUGUGGACGUGUUCUCUUCAUCAAAUGGCUCCAAAGAUGGUGUCAGGUCUAAUCACUGAAUGCAAGGUGAUUGCAUUAAAUGACACUUCCCAGCUGACCCUCCUCUUGUUAAUAGCUUUGUGUUGUCGCUUGCUCUAUGGUCACACACCACUGGCUCUUCUGUUAGAUGCGUUUGUGUUUGUGCUGCUUGGUCCUCCUAGGUUUAAUCUGUACCACCAGCUGUUAGAAUCAAGCUCAAGAGUGAUGCUAUGCCAAGAGUUUUCCUGUGUAGUUUUGUUACCUCCUUGUGGGAAGUCUGAAGAUCAGUAUAUGCAUUUUACUGCCGUUAACUGUUACUGGACACAAAAGCAAGAAAGAUCAACACCUGGAAGUUCAUUGAGAUAUCAGCAGAUCCCCUGCCUUGGAUGGCUCUGACCUCUUGCAGUGCCUGUUUCCUCCCUCUGCCUGUGUUAAACCGUUGUAUUGAUGGCCUCUGCUGCUGCCUGUUCUCCUACCCCUGUAUCGCAGUGACUGCAUGGCAUUGGGCAUCUGAUCAAAGGCUUAACAGGUAAGGUGGCAACUUGAGAAGACAGUUGGGGUUCCAGGGUAAGCUCAAACUAUUCCAGAAAGGAAACAAGACACAGAUCUGGUAAAAGGCAGCCUGAGAACAGGGCUCUUGAGUUACUCUAUGUGAUCAUUCAUCAGGGUGUUUUGCCCUUUUAAGUCAUCAUCUUGUAAAGACUGAGCAUUUAAGAGCGUUUUGGGUUGUUUUUUGAAGUAAGCAGCUGUGAUUUCCUGUGCACCAGCACACUCCUUGUGGCACCAAGUGAGCAGAAAAAUGCUUGUUCUUGGUCACUCUGCAAAGCUUAUUGCAAUAGAUUAUUGUGUUACUUUCAUUUCUUUAAUACUGGAAACCAUUGACAUGAGUAAUUUAAAUCCUAGGAGUAGCAAAUAGAUUAAUGUGAAAGCAGCUUGGGUUGGAGCUGUUUAUGCUCCACUAAAGAGGUCUAAGAAAAAACAGAUGUUAUUUUCAUUCUAUGUGUAUCUGCAAAUCAAAGUAUUAUGGCCACUGGUUUACAUCAAAUACUUUAUCUUCAGAGAAUCCCUGUGUUACAGGGAAAUGCUACUAAGCAUGUAAGGGAUGGGGUUUUCCAUAGUGAUGUUCUGAUAAGAGGAGUGAACAGUGUUGGACAGCCUAUAGUCACCCCCAGCUGACCCUAGUCUUGGCAACAAGAAAGCUACUUCUAAUGAAAAACUAAUUGCAGCUGCAUAAAUAACUCUAUCUGCUGAAGUCAGGUAAGUCUGGAGCCAUCUGGAGUGGAAAUGCUGUUUGGACAAGGCUUACUCAUUGUUACCUGACCAGAGGCCCUCUGCUUCCUGCUUUGCCAUAGAACUAAACCACAAUGGUUCUGAGGUGUCUUUUUCCUGUAGAUGU
rnacentral:lncRNA from 14 species